CCUUACGGGGCACCAGCCGUGUGUCCGCCCCGGGAGCCGGGGUGCGGCGCGGCAGCAGAACGGAGUACGAGCCGCAGGACUGACAGCGGGGCUGUGCCGCCUGUCCCCGUCCGGGUGUCGGUGCGGGAGGCGAGAGCCCUGCCCCGGUGCCUGCAGGCGGGCCGAACGCGAACGGGGCUCUCCGAGCGAGGGGCGGACCGGUGCUCCCCGCUGGAGAUGCGUUUUCUCCACAAGAGAAAAAGAGAAAAAACCUUUGGGAGGGGAAUGCUGCCGCAAUUUCAAACAAACCAACCUCAAACCUUCCAGGUCCUGCUGCCUGAAGAGGGCUCUGUGGCCGCCUGCAUAUCGUGGAGCUUGCUGCUUAACAACAGAAAUAAAGCACUUGUCAGGCAGCAGCAGUGCGUCAGUGCAAAAUUGAAUUCGCAAGACUAAAGUUUACACGAGGCAACAACAAAAUCUACUGUGCCAUUCUGUGAGGCAACAAAGGGAAACACCUUGUUAGCGUCCGUCAGGAUGAAUGCCAUCGUGCCUCACGAAAGCGCUGAUCCUGGCAGAGGGAAGGCUCGCAGGUGAGCGGCCAGCUGGAGCUAUGUGCAGUGAGGGCAGAGCGUACAGAGCGUUCUCUGCAGAGCUCGAGCCGCCGGUUGUGGGCAGGUGGGCGGUCACUGCAGCCAGCCCCGGUGAGUGGGCA
rnacentral:lncRNA from 1 species